rnacentral:rRNA from 1 species
GACGAACGCUGGCGGCGUGCUUAACACAUGCAAGUCGAGCGGUAAGGCCCUUUCGGGGGUACACGAGCGGCGAACGGGUGAGUAACACGUGGGUGACCUGCCCUCAGCUCUGGGAUAAGCCUGGGAAACCGGGUCUAAUACCGGAUAUGACUCCAUGACGCAUGUUGUGGGGUGGAAAGCCUUGCGCGGCUGAGGAUGGGCCCGCGGCCUAUCAGCUUGUUGGUGGGGUGANGGCCUACCAAGGCGACGACGGGUAGCCGGCCUGAGAGGGCGACCGGCCACACUGGGACUGAGACACGGCCCAGACUCCUACGGGAGGCAGCAGUGGGGAAUCUUGCGCAAGUGGGCGAAAGCCUGACGCAGCGACGCCGCGUGAGGGAUGACGGCCUGG